UACGGGGGGGGCAAGCGUUGUUCGGAAUUACUGGGCGUAAAGGGUGCGUAGGCGGCUUUCUAAGUUGGAUGUGAAAACUCUGGGCUCAACCCAGAGCCUGCAUCCAAAACUGGAGAGCUAGGGUUCUGGAGGGGAAAGCGGAAUUCCUGGUGUAGCGGUGAAAUGCGUAGAUAUCAGGAGGAACACCUGCGGUGUAGACGGCUUACUGGACCAUAACUGACGCUGAGGCACGAAAGCGUGGGUAGCAAACAGG
rnacentral:rRNA from 1 species